AAUUCUGAUCCACUUUCCAAGGAAACAAACCGAAUUUCAGAAGCGCGACUUCCACUACCUGUGCCAAUGGAGCUCCAGUCACCCAAUCGUGCUAACCUGCGCCUCUCUCCAUUCGUUUCUGUACUCCAACAAGCUUUCUAAAUUCCAUUUCACUCCCAUAACCAUGGAGCUUCACGUUCUUGAUUCGGUUAAACUGAGCUGGUCGUCCUCUUUCUUGACAUCCACCACUCGUUCGUUAAAAGUCCUCACUGAAACAGCAAACCCAUCAAGACCACCAUCAUUGUUAGUUCAAGCAGCCAAGAAAAGCUCUGAUAAUUCCUCUCAAGGGCUUCAGAGGGAAACCAAGAAAGAACUCUCGCGGAUUCUGAGAACGGAGGCGGCCAUUAAAGCCAUUGAGAGAAAAGCAAACUCCACGAAAUACAAUCGUCUGUGGCCUAAAGCGGUUUUGGAGGCUUUGGACGAUGCAAUACGAAAGAAUCAGUGGGAAUCAGCUCUCAAGAUUUUCGAUCUUCUUCGUAAGCAACAUUGGUAUGAGCCGAAAUGUCAAACAUACACGAAGCUGUUGGUGAUGCUUGGUAAAUGUAGGCAGCCCAAGCAGGCAAGCUUGCUUUUUGAGAUCAUGAUGUCUGAUGGGCUUCGACCCACAAUUGAUGCUUACACUGCACUUAUGAGUGCAUAUGGACUCAGUGGCCUCCUUGAUAAGGCGUUUCAGACUGUUGAUGAGAUGAAGUCAGUCUGUGAUUGCAAACCAGAUGUAUAUACUUACUCGAUCCUUAUCAACUGUUGCACUAAACUUCAACGCUUUGAUCUGAUCGAACACAUACUCACUGAGAUGUCAUACCUGGGAAUUGAAUGUGGCACUGUCACAUACAAUACCAUAAUUGAUGGAUACGGUAAGGCUAAACUGUUUGAACUGAUGGAGAGCUCAUUGAUGGACAUGAUUGAAAGUGGUACGUGCCUUCCAGAUGUUUUCACAUUUAAUUCAGUUAUUGGGGCUUAUGGGGAUUAUGGCCAGAUAGAGAAAAUGGAAAAAUGGUUUGAAGAAUUUCAACUAAUGGGGAUUAAGCCAGAUGUUAAAACAUUUAAUAUCCUGAUUAAAUCAUAUGGUAAAGCUGGCAUGUAUGAGAAAAUGGGGUCUGUUAUGGAAUUUAUGAGGAAAAGGUUCUUCUCCCCAACGAUUGUUACUUUUAAUAUAGUUAUAGAAACCUUUGGGAAAGCUGGAAAUAUUGAAAAGAUGGAAGAAUUCUUCUUGAAAAUGAAGCAUCAAGGAAUGAAGCCCAAUUCAAUAACUUAUUGCUCUCUUGUAAGCGCUUACAGUAAAGCUGGGCUUUUGAAUAAGGUUGAUUCAAUUAUGAGGCAAGCAGAUAAUUCUGAUGUAGUUCUGGAUACACCAUUUUUCAACUGUAUCAUCAGUGCCUAUGGUCAGGCUGGUGAUGUGGAAAAAAUGGGGCAGUUAUUCUGGGAAAUGAAGGAAAGAAACUGCAAGGCAGACAAUAUCACCUUUGCUACCAUGAUCCAAGCCUACAAUGCCCAUGGCAUGACUGAUGCUGCUCAAGAGUUGAAGAGUAAGAUGAUUACUGCCAAGGAGAAUUCAGGAACAAAGUUGAUUGGAUGCUAAUGUAACUCACUGAAGUAGAAGAGCAGUUUCAGAAAAGGAGAAUUUUAAUCUGACACAUCAGUACUAGGAAAGAAACAUCUUGUCUCUGUGAACAGCAGUUUUUGGUAUCAGAGCCUAAGUAGACAUUAUGUUUACUCGAUCUAGCGAUGAAACAUUGGAUGAUAAUCAGAAGAUUGAGUUGUUGUCACAUAUUCUGAAACAAUUUAAAGGGCUGAAUGCUCGAUGCGAUAAGAUAGGAGCUCGAAUUUCGCAGCCUUUUAACAAAUCGGCAGCCCUUGAACAAGGAUCUGCAUUUGGUACUAAUGAUGGCAGAAACCGCGAGCAACAACAGCCUUUACACUCUCUGCAAAGGCGUAAUUUGAAGGCUGAUCCACCACUCUAUCUCAUGUUGGAGUUUCCAAGAAAUUCAUUAGAGGUGAAUCAUCAUGAGCCACAUGAUGUUGCUGUAGAUAUUACAAAGAAGCUAAGUGAUGGAAUUUGUCGCACACAAACAACAACAAUGCUGCCAAAUGAUGGAUCAAAACCAUCUUUCUCUAGCAUGGCUGAUCCUGAAGGAAAGAGUACUAUGGCUAGCAAGGUUAAUGAGAACCUGCUUGACCAUGAAACCUACAGCACUGAUGGUCCGGAAGAGGAUGAAGAGAAUGUUCCAUCCAUCUCUAUUGGGAGGCACAUCCUCGCAGCCCGUAAUGUUGAAGACGAAGAUGGGCGGCUCACCUCUAAUUUUGACAUGCAAGUUCAUUGUGGAAACCAAGCUCAGAAGCCUAUUAUUGAUGGCGGUGGCAGCCCUAAUGUUGUCUCCACAUCCAUGGUUAAACGUCUCAAACUUUCCACAGCCCGAAUCCUUGAAGACCCUGAAGUUGAAAACGAAGAUGGGUGGCUUACCUCUAAUUUUCAGAUGCAAUUUCAUUGUGGAAACCAAGCUCGGAAGCCUAUUAUUGAUGGCGGUGGCAACCUAAAUGUUGAGCAUCUCAAACUGUCCAUCCGACCAUAUCCACAACCAUUCAAAGUGGCUUGAAUUGAUAAUAGUACUUAUAUUCUGGGGAUUUAUUCAGAUGAGGAGAGGAAGUUUAACACGGUUAUAAUUCUUGGUCUGUCUUAUACACCAGGACUUGCUAUACCGUACGGAAUACAACAUGCAUAUGGCAAGACUAAUUGAUGUUGGUAGGAAAAAGUCUGCUACUGAGUUUGCAAUUUCCCUUAUUCAGAUGUUGGUGAUCAAUGAUUCUAGUGUCAUUUUUGGAACUUCAUAUUCUUGUUGAUGCACAGGCAAAGCUUGCAGCUAGGCCUAGUUCUCCGAAGUCAUUGCAACAGUUGAUUGAGGUUGCAAGGAAUCCUUCUGCCAGCAUUAGUGCAUUGGCGGUUUACCUGUCAGGAAGGAGAAUAACACCAGAACACCCAGAGACAAAAGCACUGCUGGCCAUUCUGCAGCUGGUAGGGAAGACUAUAAUGUCCCAAAGCCAGUGGAACCAGAUUUUGCUGGUUUUCGUGAGCAGGUUUCCGUGCUAUUUGCAGAGUGGCGCUGGAUAUGUCAACUUCCUCAUGCAAAUGACACAGCUUGUGCCCAUUAUGUCUUGCAAUUGCAGCACAGUGGACUUCUAAAAGGGGAUGAUACAUCAGACCGUUUCCGUUGCCACCUCAUGGAACUUUCCAUAUCACAUUACCUAUCUUCUGAGGUGAUUCGUUUUGAUCCUUUGCAAUCAUCUAAACAAGUACAACCAUUGUCUUUCCAUGCUACCGAUAUAGAUGCAAAACUUGUCUUUGCAAUCCUCAAGUUCUGCUCUGUUGACCAUGGAUCUAUUCAACUCUCUCUUCUGCCUAAGGUUUUGGCAGCAACCGUAACAUUUAUUUAGAAAGAUGCAGAGGAGAAGACAACAUCUUUUGAUCCAAGGCCAUUAUUUGGGUUGUUCCUGAACUUGCUGCUGGACCUGCGUUCCCUUAGACCUGUCUUUGAUGGUGGUAACUUUCUGACUGCUUUUGCAAAUGCAUUCCAUGCUUUGCAUCCCCUUAAAGUUCCUGCAUUUAGCUUUGCGUGGCUUAAGUUGCUGAGUCACAUUAGUUUCGUGCCAGAAUUGCUGACAAGAAACUCCGAGAAGGGGUGGCCUUAUUUUCAACGCUUGCUCGUAGAUUUAUUCCAAUUUCUGGAACCAUUCCUGAGAAGUGCUGAACUUGGAGAGCCAGUUCAUUUUCUUAUGCACUGUCCUAUGGCGUACGAUUGUUGGAAUCUCAUCUUCAGCAUUUUUGGCGUUCAGUGGGUAAUGCCUCAAUCCUCCAUACAACUGAUUAACGCUUGGAGAAAAUGCCCAGUCAAAGGUCAUGUUCGUGACUAUUGGAGGAUUGUUCCACACUGUGUUUGGUGGUGUAUAUGGAGAGAGAGAAAUAGCAGAAAUUUUGAAGGAAAUGAAUCGUCUUUGGCAAAUUUAAAAAUCCAUUUUCUCCGUUCUCUUUUCUGUUAUGUAAGAGGAAGCGCUUGCUCCUCGACUGAUGGCUUAAUUGAUCUAUUGGACUCUAUUGGUCCUUAGGUUCAAUUUUCGUUUUGUGUAUUAGGGACGCGUUCCACUUUUGAACGCUUUUCUAAUAAACUUUUACUUAUCAAAAAAAAAAAAAAAAAAAAAAAAAAAAAAAGGAAGAA